GUAAUGCCUAGGAAUCUGCCUGGUAGUGGGGGACAACGUUUCGAAAGGAACGCUAAUACCGCAUACGUCCUACGGGAGAAAGCAGGGGACCUUCGGGCCUUGCGCUAUCAGAUGAGCCUAGGUCGGAUUAGCUAGUAGGUGAGGUAAUGGCUCACCUAGGCGACGAUCCGUAACUGGUCUGAGAGGAUGAUCAGUCACACUGGAACUGAGACACGGUCCAGACUCCUACGGGAGGCAGCAGUGGGGAAUAUUGGACAAUGGGCGAAAGCCUGAUCCAGCCAUGCCGCGUGUGUGAAGAAGGUCUUCGGAUUGUAAAGCACUUUAAGUUGGGAGGAAGGGCAGUAAGUUAAUACCUUGCUGUUUUGACGUUACCAACAGAAUAAGCACCGGCUAACUUCGUGCCAGCAGCCGCGGUAAUACGAAGGGUGCAAGCGUUAAUCGGAAUUACUGGGCGUAAAGCGCGCGUAGGUGGUUCAGCAAGUUGGAGGUGAAAUCCCCGGGCUCAACCUGGGAACUGCCUCCAAAACUACUGAGCUAGAGUACGGUAGAGGGUAGUGGAAUUUCCUGU
rnacentral:rRNA from 1 species